UAAUCCACGUGCAUGGCAAGAAAAUGUCAGAAUUCAAAUGCGUCGGCGAGGUACUUCUAUAUAAAUCCACUGCUGCAACCAACAAAUCUAUAAUUUCAUUGAACAUAAUACAUUGGGAAGGAAGAGAGGGAGAUACCAAUACAGGAAAGACAAUGGCUAGAGAAUUAUGUCCAGGUAAGAGCUCAUGGCCGGAACUGUUAGGAACAAACGGGGAAGCGGCAGCUGCUACGAUAGAGAAAGAGAAUACAAAUGUAGAUGCAAUUGUGGUGAAGGAAGGAACUGGAGUGAUUGAGGAUUUUAGGUGCAACAGGGUGUGGGUAUGGGUCAAUGAAUAUGGUGUUGUGACUCAAGUUCCUACAGUCGGUUAAUUCCAUGAUUUUAUUUCAUUUCUGAAUAAAUGAAAUGAUUUGAAUUGUAAUGAAAUAAAAGUUCCCUUCAAUAUUUAUGAAUGCUUAUCUUAAUUAUACUA